rnacentral:rRNA from 1 species
UUAAAGUUGUUGCGGUUAAAAGCUCGUAGUUGGAUUUCUGUCGAGGGCGAUCGGUCCGCACUAUGUGCGUGUAUCUGUUAUCUCUUGGCAUCCUCUUGGGGAACGUUUCUGCGCUUGAUUGCGUGGGGCGGAAUUCAAGACUUUUACUUUGAGGAAAUUAGAGUGUUCACGGCAAGCUAUCGCUUUGAAUACAUUAGCAUGGAAUAAUAAUAUAGGGCGUAAGCUUUAUUUUGUUGGUUUCUAGAGCAUACGCAAUGAUUAAUAGGGAUAAUUGGGGGCAUUCGUAUUGAUGCGUCAGAGGUGGAAUUCUUUUUUUGCAUCACGACGAACUACUGCGAAAGCAUUUGCCAAGGAUGUUUUCAUUGAUCMAGAACGAAAGUAUGGGGAUCGAAGACGAUUAGAUACCGUCGUAGUCUAUACCAUAAACUAUGCCGACUAAAGAUUGGGCGUCGUUCUUUUUAUGACUCGCUCAGCAUUUUAUGAGAAAUCAAAGUUUUUGGGUUC